rnacentral:rRNA from 1 species
AGAUUAAGUUAUUAAGGGCGCACGGUGGAUGCCUUGGCACUAGAAGCCGAUGAAGGACGUUACUAACGACGAUAUGCUUUGGGGAGCUGUAAGUAAGCUUUGAUCCAGAGAUUUCCGAAUGGGGAAACCCAGCAUGAGUUAUGUCAUGUUAUCGAUAUGUGAAUAUAUAGCAUAUCAGAAGGCACACCCGGAGAACUGAAACAUCUUAGUACCCGGAGGAAGAGAAAGAAAAUUCGAUUCCCUUAGUAGCGGCGAGCGAAACGGGAAGAGCCCAAACCAACAAGCUUGCUUGUUGGGGUUGUAGGACACUCUAUACGGAGUUACAAAGGACGACAUUAGACGAAUCAUCUGGAAAGAUGAAUCAAAGAAGGUAAUAAUCCUGUAGUCGAAAAUGUUGUCUCUCUUGAGUGGAUCCUGAGUACGACGGAGCACGUGAAAUUCCGUCGGAAUCUGGGAGGACCAUCUCCUAAGGCUAAAUACUCUCUAGUGACCGAUAGUGAACCAGUACCGUGAGGGAAAGGUGAAAAGCACCCCGGAAGGGGAGUGAAAUAGAACCUGAAACCGUGUGCUUACAAGUAGUCAGAGCCCGUUAAUGGGUGAUGGCGUGCCUUUUGUAGAAUGAACCGGCGAGUUACGAUUUGAUGCAAGGUUAAGCAGUAAAUGUGGAGCCGUAGCGAAAGCGAGUCUGAAUAGGGCGUUUAGUAUUUGGUCGUAGACCCGAAACCAGGUGAUCUACCCUUGGUCAGGUUGAAGUUCAGGUAACACUGAAUGGAGGACCGAACCGACUUACGUUGAAAAGUGAGCGGAUGAACUGAGGGUAGCGGAGAAAUUCCAAUCGAACCUGGAGAUAGCUGGUUCUCUCCGAAAUAGCUUUAGGGCUAGCCUCAAGUGAUGAUUAUUGGAGGUAGAGCACUGUUUGGACGAGGGGCCCCUCUCGGGUUACCGAAUUCAGACAAACUCCGAAUGCCAAUUAAUUUAACUUGGGAGUCAGAACAUGGGUGAUAAGGUCCGUGUUCGAAAGGGAAACAGCCCAGACCACCAGCUAAGGUCCCAAAAUAUAUGUUAAGUGGAAAAGGAUGUGGCGUUGCCCAGACAACUAGGAUGUUGGCUUAGAAGCAGCCAUCAUUUAAAGAGUGCGUAAUAGCUCACUAGUCGAGUGACACUGCGCCGAAAAUGUACCGGGGCUAAACAUAUUACCGAAGCUGUGGAUUGUCCUUUGGACAAUGGUAGGAGAGCGUUCUAAGGGCGUUGAAGCAUGAUCGUAAGGACAUGUGGAGCGCUUAGAAGUGAGAAUGCCGGUGUGAGUAGCGAAAGACGGGUGAGAAUCCCGUCCACCGAUUGACUAAGGUUUCCAGAGGAAGGCUCGUCCGCUCUGGGUUAGUCGGGUCCUAAGCUGAGGCCGACAGGCGUAGGCGAUGGAUAACAGGUUGAUAUUCCUGUACCACCUAUAAUCGUUUUAAUCGAUGGGGGGACGCAGUAGGAUAGGCGAAGCGUGCGAUUGGAUUGCACGUCUAAGCAGUAAGGCUGAGUAUUAGGCAAAUCCGGUACUCGUUAAGGCUGAGCUGUGAUGGGGAGAAGACAUUGUGUCUUCGAGUCGUUGAUUUCACACUGCCGAGAAAAGCCUCUAGAUAGAAAAUAGGUGCCCGUACCGCAAACCGACACAGGUAGUCAAGAUGAGAAUUCUAAGGUGAGCGAGCGAACUCUCGUUAAGGAACUCGGCAAAAUGACCCCGUAACUUCGGGAGAAGGGGUGCUCUUUAGGGUUAACGCCCAGAAGAGCCGCAGUGAAUAGGCCCAAGCGACUGUUUAUCAAAAACACAGGUCUCUGCUAAACCGUAAGGUGAUGUAUAGGGGCUGACGCCUGCCCGGUGCUGGAAGGUUAAGAGGAGUGGUUAGCUUCUGCGAAGCUACGAAUCGAAGCCCCAGUAAACGGCGGCCGUAACUAUAACGGUCCUAAGGUAGCGAAAUUCCUUGUCGGGUAAGUUCCGACCCGCACGAAAGGCGUAACGAUUUGGGCACUGUCUCAACGAGAGACUCGGUGAAAUCAUAGUACCUGUGAAGAUGCAGGUUACCCGCGACAGGACGGAAAGACCCCGUGGAGCUUUACUGUAGCCUGAUAUUGAAAUUCGGCACAGCUUGUACAGGAUAGGUAGGAGCCUUUGAAACGUGAGCGCUAGCUUACGUGGAGGCGCUGGUGGGAUACUACCCUAGCUGUGUUGGCUUUCUAACCCGCACCACUUAUCGUGGUGGGAGACAGUGUCAAGCGGGCAGUUUGACUGGGGCGGUCGCCUCCUAAAAGGUAACGGAGGCGCUCAAAGGUUCCCUCAGAAUGGUUGGAAAUCAUUCAUAGAGUGUAAAGGCAUAAGGGAGCUUGACUGCGAGACCUACAAGUCGAGCAGGGUCGAAAGACGGACUUAGUGAUCCGGUGGUUCCGCAUGGAAGGGCCAUCGCUCAACGGAUAAAAGCUACCCCGGGGAUAACAGGCUUAUCUCCCCCAAGAGUUCACAUCGACGGGGAGGUGUGGCACCUCGAUGUCGGCUCAUCGCAUCCUGGGGCUGUAGUCGGUCCCAAGGGUUGGGCUGUUCGCCCAUUAAAGCGGUACGCGAGCUGGGUUCAGAACGUCGUGAGACAGUUCGGUCCCUAUCCGUCGUGGGCGUAGGAAAUUUGAGAGGAGCUGUCCUUAGUACGAGAGGACCGGGAUGGAC